rnacentral:rRNA from 1 species
GACGAACGCUGGCGGCGUGCCUAAUACAUGCAAGUAGAACGCUGAAGAGAGGAGCUUGCUCUUCUUGGAUGAGUUGCGAACGGGUGAGUAACGCGUAGGUAACCUGCCUGGUAGCGGGGGAUAACUAUUGGAAACGAUAGCUAAUACCGCAUGAAAUUGCUUAUCGCAUGAUAAUUAAUUGAAAGAUGCAAUUGCAUCACUACCAGAUGGACCUGCGUUGUAUUAGCUAGUUGGUGAGGUAACGGCUCACCAAGGCGACGAUACAUAGCCGACCUGAGAGGGUGAUCGGCCACACUGGGACUGAGACACGGCCCAGACUCCUACGGGAGGCAGCAGUAGGGAAUCUUCGGCAAUGGGGGGAACCCUGACCGAGCAACGCCGCGUGAGUGAAGAAGGUUUUCGGAUCGUAAAGCUCUGUUGUAAGAGAAGAACGGGUGUGAGAGUGGAAAGUUCACACUGUGACGGUAUCUUACCAGAAAGGGACGGCUAACUACGUGCCAGCAGCCGCGGUAAUACGUAGGUCCCGAGCGUUGUCCGGAUUUAUUGGACGUAAAGCGAGCGCAGGCGGUUAGAUAAGUCUGAAGUUAAAGGCUGUGGCUUAACCAUAGUAUGCUUUGGAAACUGUUUACCUUGAGUGCAGAAGGGGAGAGUGGAAUUCCAUGUGUAGCGGUGAAAUGCGUAGAUAUAUGGAGGAACACCGGUGGCGAAAGCGGCUCUCUGGUCUGUAACUGACGCUGAGGCUCGAAAGCGUGGGGAGCAAACAGG